UACGUAGGGUGCGAGCGUUGUCCGGAAUUAUUGGGCGUAAAGAGCUCGUAGGUGGCGGGUCACGUCGGGUGUGAAAGCCCGGGGCUUAACUCCGGGUCUGCAUUCGAUACGGGUCUGCUGGGGUCCGGCAGGGGAGACUGGAAUUCCUGGUGUAGCGGUGAAAUGCGUAGAUAUGCGGAGGAACACCGAUGGCGAAGGCAAUCCCCUGGGCCUGCACUGACGCUCAUGCACGAAAGCGUGGGGAGCAAACAGG
rnacentral:rRNA from 1 species